GAUGAACGCUGGCGGCGUGCCUAAUACAUGCAAGUCGAGCGAACAGACGAGGAGCUUGCUCCUCUGACGUUAGCGGCGGACGGGUGAGUAACACGUGGAUAACCUACCUAUAAGACUGGGAUAACUUCGGGAAACCGGAGCUAAUACCGGAUAAUAUAUUGAACCGCAUGGUUCAAUAGUGAAAGACGGUUUUGCUGUCACUUAUCGAUGGAUCCGCGCCGCAUUAGCUUGUUGGUAAGGUAACGGCUUACCACGGCAACGUGGCGUAGCAGACCUGAGAUGGUGGGCAGCCACACUGGAACUGUGACCCGGUCCAGACGCCGUGGGGAGGCAGCCGGAGGGAAUCUUCCGGAAUGGGCGAAAGCCUGACGGAGCAACGCCGCGUGAUGGAGGAAGGUCUUCGGAUCGUAAAACUCUGUUAUUGGGGUAGAACAAAUGUGUAAGUAACUAUGCACGUCUUGACGGUACCUAAUCAGAAAGCCACGGCUAACUUCGUU
rnacentral:rRNA from 1 species